UACGAAGGGGGCUAGCGUUGCUCGGAAUGACUGGGCGUAAAGGGCGCGUAGGCGGAUGGCUUUGUCGGGCGUGAAAUUCCAGGGCUUAACCUUGGGGCUGCGUUCGAGACGGGUUGUCUUGAGUGGGGAAGAGGGUCGUGGAAUUCCCAGUGUAGAGGUGAAAUUCGUAGAUAUUGGGAAGAACACCGGUGGCGAAGGCGGCGACCUGGUCCUUUUACUGACGCUGAGGCACGAAAGCGUGGGGAGCAAACAGG
rnacentral:rRNA from 1 species